GUGAAUUGCAGAAUCCCGUGAACCAUCGAGUCUUUGAACGCAAGUUGCGCCCGAAGCCAUUAGGCCGAGGGCACGCCUGCCUGGGUGUCACUA
rnacentral:rRNA from 1 species